rnacentral:rRNA from 1 species
ACCCGCUGAACUUAAGCAUAUCAAUAAGCGGAGGAAAAGAAACCAACAGGGAUUGCCCUAGUAACGGCGAGUGAAGCGGCAUCAGCUCAAAUUUGAAAUCUGGCCUUGGCCCGAGUUGUAAUUUGUAGAGGAUAGUUCGGUGAUGCCUCGACCCAAGUCUCCUGGAACGGAGUGCCUUGGAGGGUGAGAGCCCCGUAUACGGUCGGUCGGCAGAGCCAUGUGAACUUCCUUCGAAGAGUCGAGUUGUUUGGGAAUGCAGCUCAAAAUUGGUGGUAAAUUCCAUCUAAAGCUAAAUAUUGGCCAGAGACCGAUAGCGCACAAGUAGAGUGAUCGAAAGAUGAAAAGCACUUUGGAAAGAGAGUGAAACAGUACGUGAAAUUGUUGAAAGGGAAGCGCUUGCAAUCAGACUUGCAUUUAGGAGUUCCGCCGGUCAUUGACCGGUUCACUCUUCUAUAUUCAGGCCAGCAUCGAUUCAGUCGGUUGGAUAAAGGUUUUGGGAAUGUGACUUCUUUCGGGAAGUGUUAUAGCCCUUUACACAAUACAGCCAGAUCGGAUCGAGGACCGCGUUCGCUAGGAUGCUGGCGUAAUGGUUGUAAGCGGCCCGUCUUGAAACACGG